GAUCAUGUGUACCUGCAGCUGAAUUAGUACUUACAUCAUGGUCCUGAGUCAAGACCAUGGCAGGGAAUCUGGUGGACUCUGGGGAGGACCUGACCUGGGUGUUUUUCUUUCCUUAUUUGUGGUCAUCUCUAUGGAGUAACCUAUACCCAGAGGAUGGACUAGUAUUUUCUGCCUUAGCUUUAGGCCAACUGUGCCCUUCCUAGCUACUCCACCCAGUGCCAAAUCCCAUGUCCCUUCUGUUGCACCACGGACUCCUAAUACCUCUCCUCCCCUGCCAGCCACUGAUGGCAACUUGCCCAAGUGGGGUUAAUGCAUCUGCUUUCAUUUCGAAAGUUAGAUAUAAAGGGAAUCUUUGAGAGCCCAGUGUCAAAAGUGCUCAGGAAAUUGGCCCUAGACUGUGUGCCAUUUGGAAACAUUUUGAAACAUACUCAUAGCUGCAGUGAGGGCAGCGGGUUCUAGCACAUUUACAAACUACCAUCAAGCCAGUUCGGCUGAGCAAGACUUUGAGAGGUUUUUAAAAAAUAGUUGAGAGAAAGAUGAUAGGUCACAUGGUUACACAAAGCACAAACUUGGCAGGGGAAGCCCUGUACGCAGAAGGCAGCUUUGCAACUUCUCUGGUUGUCUGCACAAGUCUGAGUUUUGCACAUGGUUUACAAGUCUUGCACAAGGUGGCCGAGCCAUCCAAGACAAUUUUUAAAAGAGAAAUCCAGACACUGCCUAACUGCUCCAGCACAACAUGCUUCCACUCGGCGGCAGGUGGGAGCUUAGAUGAAAUUCCUUUGGAGUGAAGAAGGAAGUCGGUCCUUUGAUGAAGUGCAUUGUCUCUAGUGGCCUCAUUCCUUGCCUUCCCCAAUCCUGCACAUUCUCUUAGCUACUCAGGGGAUCUGAACAAAGAGGUAUUCAUUUACUUUUGUCUUGUUCCAUAGAUCACAUCUGCUGAGAACCAUCCUGG
rnacentral:lncRNA from 1 species